ensembl:lncRNA
UCCCUGGCUGAAGUUCUCAGAGGGGUACACAGAGGUAGGAGAGAGCUAAGGACAAGGCCAAGGGGCACUUAGGGUGACAGGACAUAGCCACAGCUUGGGGACAGUGGCCAGAUGCUGGAGACAUUCAUAUGGCAGGAAGGGACGCACAGGACACAACCACAGCCCAAGGACAUGGGGGGCAACAAAAGGGACCUUGCUCAGACCACUGGGACCACAGUGCCGUGGGUGAACACACUGCCACCCACCUAGUGAAAGCUGUGUCCUUGCUGCAGCUAUGUCUCCAAAGGGCUUUAGUCAGUGCCAGAACCCACAGAUCCCCUAUACAGGGCAAAACUACAGAAUUCUGCAUCAAUCAAUCGUCAGGAGCUUCCAUUCACUGACAACGUCACGGCGCACCAGGCACAGGCAGUGCGCGGUCGCAGCUGCCCCAGCUUGGGCGUGGCCCAGGGGCCCCCCCAGACCUUCCAGCAGCCGCGCAGCCCCACUGAAACUGCGUCCCAGUGCCUCAGCCAUUGCGCCCCGCAGUCGCCCCUCGCCCGCCCCCAGCCGCUGCUGCAGCAGUGAGGGGCCCCCCCUGGACACCCCUGGCAGCGGCAUCCGGGCCGCACUGUCCUCUUCCUCCUCCUCCUCGGUCUCCGACGCCUCCCCCGGAACCUUCAGCCCCACUGCGGGAGUCCCGGCUGUGUUCCCCCCCGGCUCCGGCUCUGAGUCGCUCUCCGAGGCCUCGCCCAGCACCAGCCCCCACUGCGGGAGUCCCGGCUGUGUUCCCCCCCGGCUCCGGCUCUGAGUCGCUCUCCGAGGCCUCGCCCAGCACCAGCGUGGGGGAAAGAGGGACGGCCAUGGUCUGCGAGAGGGGAAUAAAAGGGAGGAGGGGGAGUCGGGGGGAAAACGGCCCCACCAGGCACGGAGACCCCCGGCUCUUUCUCCCGAGUCUCAGAGGAAUACUGCGCACAACAGGCCCGUGCCCCCUCAGCCUCGUGAGACCCCCAC